AUUGAACGCUGGCGGCAGGCCUAACACAUGCAAGUCGAGCGGAGCGGCGGACGGGUGAGUAAUGCCUAGGAAUCUGCCUGGUAGUGGGGGAUAACGUCCGGAAAAGGGAGCUAAUACCGCAUACUAUCAGAUGAGCCUAGGUCGGAUUAGCUAGUUGGUGGGGUAAGGGCCUACCAAGGCGACGAGCCGUCACUGGUCUGAGAGGAUGAUCAGUCACACUGGAACUGAGACAAGGUGCAGAAUUCGACGGGAGGCAGCAUGGGGGAACAUUGGACAAUGGGCGAAAGCCUGAGCCAGCCAUGCCGCGUGUGUGAAGAAGGGCUUCGGAUUGUAAAGCACUUUAAGUUGGGAGGCGUUACCAACAGAAUAAGCACCGGCUAACUUCGUGCCAGCAGCCGCGGUAAUUC
rnacentral:rRNA from 1 species